CACAACUUGUGCCCAGCGUUUGACCUAUUGGAUCCUUCCCGGAGGUGGUGUGUCUCCUCUACAGGCUCAGGAUUCCUGACCACGUCCAGUCUGUUCAGAGAGCAGGAAAUCAAGAAUGUAAAGAAAUCUUAGUGAGCAUUGCCUUUUCGAGCUCAUUUGCCUUAUGAUUGAGGCCAGGAGAUGAAUUGGGAAUGAUGAUAAUACCUCUUCUUAUUGGAGAAUGAAGAUGUCUUUGUGAGGAUGAAAAAGUUCUUCCCAGGAAGUGACGAAGCUGCUUUUUCUCCAUCACUUGCAUCUGGGCUGGUCCUUUUGACUUCUGUUGCCCAAAAGAAUAUGAUGGAAUUGAUGUCGCGAGAGCCUCAAGAGGCCUUGCAACUUUUGCUUCUUUGCAAUGCUCUGCCAUCACGUGAAGAGGCCUGGGGUAAAAGACAG